GGGCGUAUGGUCUAGAGGUAUGAUACCUGCUUUGGGAAUGAAGAGUUUCGACAUGUCUCAUUGCAGGGGGUCUUCGGUUCGAAUCCGGAUUCGCCCC